UCGCCGAGCGUCUUGGGCGUCCUGCCAGGGCCGCUAGUUGGGCGGUUGUUCCCAGCUCAAGUCUUCCUUCUCCUCCGUGCUUCCGAAGGCGUGUUUUGAAUCCUGUCUGUCAGCUCCUAGCGGGGGCGUCUUGGAGGAAACGGAGCCGGGGGUGUUGGCGCCGUCGCGUCUCGGGACCCUCUCCUGAGGAUUGUGUCGCGCGGGGGGAUGUGGACGCUUGCGGGUCAGGGCUGCUGGCGCAGACGCGCGCUCGCGGCCUGGGCCACCCGGGCGGCGCGUCGGGGGCUGCCCGCGCCUCGCCCCGCGCCGACCCGGGGAGCUGCAGCCGAGUCCAAGGCUCCGGACAGGAGCUACAGCUCCGCGGACCGCAAGGAAAAAAUUGAUAUGUCUAAAUUCCCUGUUGAAAACACUAGAAAUUUCAGUAUCAUUGCACAUGUGGAUCAUGGCAAAAGUACUUUAGCCGACAGGCUCCUGGAACUAACAGGGGCAAUUGAUAAAACAAAAAAUAAUAAACAAGUUCUUGAUAAAUUGCAAGUGGAACGAGAAAGAGGAAUCACUGUUAAAGCACAGACAGCGUCUCUCUUCUGUGAUUAUGAAGGAAAGCAGUACCUUUUAAAUCUCAUCGAUACACCGGGCCAUGUUGAUUUUAGUUAUGAAGUAUCCAGGUCACUCUCAGCUUGCCAGGGUGUUUUACUUGUGGUGGAUGCAAAUGAGGGUAUUCAAGCCCAAACUGUAGCAAACUUCUUUCUUGCUUUUGAAGCACAGCUAUCGGUAAUUCCAGUCAUAAACAAGAUAGAUCUGAAGAAUGCUGAUCCUGAAAGGGUUGAAAAACAAAUUGAAAAGGUGUUUGAUAUUCCAAGUGAUGAAUGUAUUAAGAUUUCUGCUAAACUUGGAACGAAUGUUGAAAGUGUUCUUCAGGCAGUCAUCAAAAGAAUACCCCCUCCUAAAGUGCAUCGCAAAAAUCCCUUGAGAGCUUUGGUAUUUGACUCCACCUUUGACCAGUAUAGGGGUGUGAUUGCCAAUGUAGCAUUAUUUGAUGGAGUGGUUUCCAAAGGAGAUAAAAUUGUAUCUGCGCAAACUCAAAAGACAUAUGAAGUUAACGAAGUAGGAGUUCUGAAUCCUAAUGAGCAGCCAACUCACAAACUAUAUGCAGGACAGGUGGGCUAUCUGAUUGCUGGGAUGAAAGAUGUCACUGAAGCACAAAUAGGAGAUACAUUAUAUUUACAUAAACAACCAGUGGAACCCUUGCCUGGGUUUAAAUCAGCGAAGCCAAUGGUAUUUGCAGGAAUGUACCCUAUAGACCAAUCUGAAUAUAAUAACCUGAAGAGUGCUAUAGAAAAACUGACUCUAAAUGAUUCCAGUGUGACAGUUCAUCGGGAUAGUAGCCUUGCCCUAGGUGCUGGCUGGAGGUUAGGAUUUCUUGGACUUUUGCAUAUGGAAGUUUUCAACCAGCGACUUGAGCAAGAGUAUAAUGCUUCUGUUAUUUUGACAACCCCUACUGUUCCAUAUAAAGCUGUUCUUUCAUCAGCAAAAUUGAUAAAGGAAUACAGAGAAAAGGAAAUUACAAUCAUCAAUCCUGCACAAUUCCCUGAUAAGUCAAAAGUAACAGAAUAUUUGGAGCCGAUUGUUUUGGGCACCAUUAUCACACCAGAUGAAUAUACUGGAAAAAUAAUGAUGCUUUGCCAGGCUCGAAGAGCAGUUCAGAAGAAUAUGAUGUAUAUUGAUCAAAAUAGAAUAAUGCUUACAUAUCUCUUCCCUUUGAAUGAAAUUGUGGUGGAUUUUUAUGAUUCUUUGAAAUCUCUGUCUUCUGGAUAUGCUAGUUUUGACUACGAAGAUGCAGGCUACCAGACUGCAGAACUUGUAAAAAUGGAUAUUCUACUGAAUGGAAAUAUUGUAGAAGAGCUAGUAACUGUUGUACACAAAGACAAAGCAUACUCUGCUGGCAAAGCCAUAUGUGAACGUCUGAAGGAUUCUCUUCCUAGGCAGCUGUUUGAGAUAGCAAUUCAAGCUGCUCUUGGAAGCAAAAUCAUUGCAAGAGAAACUGUGAAAGCCUACAGGAAAAAUGUUUUGGCAAAAUGCGCAGAACUGUUGUGAUCUAAGGACAAGUACCUAGGCCAAGCUGAAACAAUCAGAAUUUCUCUCUAUAAAUCUGAAACUUGACCAGGAACACAGAAAGAAAGAAGGCAUCUAGAGCUGAGGCAUUUGAUGACAGCACUGCAGGAGAGGAUCAGAGGGAAGGGAACUCUUGCUCCAUUUCCCAGGACUGAGCAAUGGUGGAUUAAUACUCUGGAGCUCUUCUCUGGUCUUACUAUUUCCAAUUCAGAGGAGAGGAGUAGGAAACCCCAUUCUGGCCUCAAGCCCAACCUGCAAUCUCUAAUCCAACUUUACCUUUAAUAAAGCUGACAUUUU